rnacentral:rRNA from 1 species
UUCUUAUUAAAUUAUUAUAAGUAAUGCCUGCUCAAUGAAUAUUAUUAAAUAGCCGCGGAAAUUUAACUGUGCUAAGGUAGCAUAAUCACUAGUUCUUUAAUUAAGAACUUGUAUGAAAGGUAAAACAUUUCAAUUACUUUCUAAUUUAAUUUAAUUGAAUUUAAAUUAAGAAUUAAAAUGUUCUUAUAUAAAAAAUAGACGACAAGACCCUCUUGAACUUUACUAUUUGUUUAACUGGGGCAGUUAAAAAAUAAUAAUCUUUUUUUAAAAAAUGUUAAAUAGAAGACCCAAUAAAAUUGAUUUAACGAACAAGUUACCAUAGGGAUAACAGCGUAAUAUCUUUUUAAAGUUCUUAUUUAAAAAGAAGAUUGCGACCUCGAUGUUGAAUUAAAGUUUCUUUAUAGGUGCAAUAACUUUAAAAGUAAGUCUGUUCGACUUAUAAAACAUUAC